UGUGGUAACUUUAUUUUAACCACAAUAACUACUUGGGGAAGUUAUCUGAUGGGAUGAGAAGAUAACUUAGUGAAGAGAAGAGAGGAAACUCGACCAAAGAGGAUAAGGGAGGUUAAGGAAGGAUAAGGGAUCACUUUGACAGCCUGUAUGAUGCUGGAAAGGAGAGGAUGCUUUUCUACUAGUGCAAGCAUGUGAGAAAGCACAGCCAAGUGAUUCAAAAGGAGUUCCAGCCUGUCCUUUGACUACACAUGCUUACCCAUUUCGAAUUUCCUUGUUGCUCUCUCUAUUAAUACUUGUAAACCUCACAGUUAUUAAUUAAUGGAGUUUUGAGUCUCUCUCUCUUUAUUCUCUCACUAGAAUCUCUUAAUCUCUUUAAUCUUUUCAUAUGAUUAUCCCUGAUUGGUUGAAUCAUGCUCUAAUACACAAAAGUGUAUAUUCUUGACAUCUUCUAGAGCUUUCCCUAUUGUUGUACAAGCUCUAUCUUCUCUUCAGUUCAACACUCCCCCUCAAGCUUGACUUUAGGAGAUCCUAAGCCAAGCUUGGAACUCUGAAGAGUCUCCCUCAUUAAAAACCUUACAAGGAAAACCCAUUGGGACAAAACCUUGCAAGGGAAAAAGAGUAGAGCUCUCCAAAGCCUAGGGAUUGGCCAGUGAGCUCUUGUGCCUUAGAACCAAUGUGGUUGGACACAAGAAGCUCUGGAUCACGGCCUAGCAGGUGCAGCAACUCUUCACAGCUUUGCCCACACUUCACACUUCACACUUCACACUUCAGCUUCACCUCUUCAUGGAACCGGUUUGAAGUCUCCCCCUCUCAACUGACUUCACAGCCAUCUUAGAGAAGCUAGGACACGACCAGAUCAUCUUCAAAACACUAGUGAGGCUGAUCAACACUUCACACACGGCUUGCCCUCUUCAUAAAACUGGUUUGGACCUCCCCCUCUCAACAGACUUCUCAGCCAUCUUAGAGAAGCUAGGAACUGACCAGGAACAUCUUUAGUGAGGCUCAAGCAAUGGUACCUGAUACAUUAUCCCAAAGGUGCAUCAGUACCUAUCAAAAACAAGAAAAUGAAUAUCCUGCAUCAUACUUGAUGCACACAAUCUCACAAUUCAAUCAUAAUCAUCUUAAGUAUCUUUUCAAGCACAAGCAAUGAAUAAGAUGAAUGAAAAAGAUUGAAAAGAGUUUUAAAAGUCUAAGGGAACUUCCCUUGUGUUUUUGUGAGUUUCCAAACUCUCUCAAUGCACCAUCUUCAUGGCAUCAUCAACUUCUUGGAAAGGCAGAAUGGAUUGAUCAGCUUCUCCUCAAUCACCUCUCAUUGAAGCCGCAUUGAUGGAGAGCCUUCCUCCUCACUCGCCAAGGCUGCUCUGAACAGCCUCUUGCCAUGGAUCAUAUGCAUUAAGACUCCCCCUCAAGCUUAGAACCGAGACUAGAAGGAGCUAAGCUUGUGAUGAUCCUAUGCAUCUCCAUGGUCUAAUAACUAUCAUCUUUUAUGAUAGCUUUCUUCUUGUGAGUUUACUCUCUUCCUUAACCAGGAACUAGGGUGUUUGAAUCACCAUAGAGAGUCUCACAAGACACACCUCUCAUUGCAUAAUGACCCAUGCUACACUUCCUGUAGACUAAGGACUAGAUAUGUCCAAUGGUAUUAUGCAAUGGCUAUCUCUCAUUGCAUACUCAAUCACACUACACUUCCUGUAGAUUAUGGACUAACAUGUCCUAGUGAUGAUAUGCAAUGGCACAAGACCUUUGUCUUUACAUUCUUGGUUGUUGGCGAGUUACAUGUAUCCCAUUCCUUGUGCACCUAACACCACCACAACUCAAUGCAAGAUCAGAUCAUCCCAUUGGGAUCAAACCAAGAUUAUCCAUCCUGUUUGAUCACCAAUGCCACAAUAAUAUAUAAUACUUGAAACAAGCUAGACAAUCAAGACAAUCAAGCAAAGACAAUCAAUUCAGUUUUGUUUUUUUUUUUUUAAAUGCAACAAUAGAUGACUGCAUUAUAGGUUACACACUAACUAUAUGAAUGAAACAGAUUCAAUCUAAAUGGAACACAAGUCUAGAUGAUACUUAUGCAAUCAAGGCGACAAGAGUGACUCAAUUCAUGCUUAUGCUCACUAGUUUUAUCAAAGCCAAUGAUUCAAAUAGCUUAGACAUACUUCUAAGUGCUUAUAAGACAUCACUGAUGGAUUUAACUAUAGCAACAAUCAGAACUGGACUGAGUCAAGACAAGUAGAUUUCAAUCUCUAAUAAUGGCAAUGCAAGUUCUAUUUUUUUUUUUUUUUUAAGUUCUCUAAAUGCAAUGCAAGCCUAUCAGUACAUUUGCAAUUUAGGCUCAUUUUUAAAUGCAUUACUAUAUGAAUGCACAAUCUUAAAGCUUUAGCUAUAUGAAUGCAACAGGUUUAAUCCAUGAGCAAUAUUAAGGCUAUGCACAACAGUUUCAAUCAAAACCAAUGAUGCAAACAACUUAGACAAUUUCUAAUUGAUGCAAGACUUUCAUUGAUGGAUUAAACAUAGACAAUAGCAUCAGAUAACAAUAGGAUUGAACUUAGACAGUAUGAGAUAUGCUUAUGUAUGCAAAAUAACUUAUCAAUCAUGAUGCAAGCAGCAGAGACAUUCUACUCAAUUCUACAACACAUUCAUGAUGAUUCAAGCUAUGACAAUCCUCAAGACAAUGCAAUAAACAGAACAUGAGAUUCUGGGACUCUAGACAUUACUUACUAUCAAUAUGACAAUGCAGCAGCAAAACAAUUUCAGUGCAAUUAGCCUAGACAUUCUACUAGAGGCUAUAAACUCUUAAUGGAAUUAGGGAAAGCACAUAGUAUAAUCAGAUGAUAAACCUAUCAAGACAUAUUAAGAUAGAUGAGAUUAGGUUUACUCCCUUGGUUAAGAUGAUGAGAAAUGGUUCUCAAAGUUACCACUUGAAUCCUUACUUCUUCUUCUUCUCUUAUUGCAAUCACCCUCCUGAAUUCACCACCAUGAUGGAAUGCUUGUGGAUGCUUCAGCUACUUCUUCAAUCACCUCACACUAGAGGCCGCCUUGAUAGAGUAGCCUUCUUCUUCACACAGCCAAGAGUGCUCUGUCUUAGUUUGAACACCCUCUUGAAUAGGCACGCCACUGCCUAGACCCGGUUGGCUUCUUCUUCAGUUACUUGCAAUGGUAGUAGGAAGACCAGUGAGCUUCAAGUGGGUUUUACAACCAUCUGCGCUUCACCCUUCUUGUAGUAACUCUCCAUUGCACACACAAUGGACACCAUUCUUUCUCUUUAAACUCGGAUUUGAUGAUGAACUAGGAACACCUUUUGUGAACCUGAAACAUCACUCAAACUCUAGCCAAGAUAAGACACAAUUGCAUUGGGAUCAAUCCUUGACCUCAUCAAGUUUGAUCACCAAUGUCUCAAGCUUUAUAACAUUAGAUAGAAUCAAGACAAUGUCAAGUUCUUAUCUAUGCAAGCAACCAUUCUCUAAAUACUAAGCAAGACCUUAUCAGAUUCAAGUCAAAGUAUUUAGGCAAUUUUAAUCACUCCUUAAUAUGCAACUUAGACUUUAAUCUAAAUGCAACAAUACAAGGCAGCAACAAGGCAGUAUGCAUUAAUUUUAAUCAGUUUCUAACUCAUGAAAGCAAGUAUGAUUAGAUACUAUAAUCUAUCAUCUUAACAAGACAAGUUAAUUUCGAGCUGACAUUAAGCAUUUAACCAUUUUCAAUAGUAUUGAUGUCAAAACUUGAUUAAUAAAUCAUCAAGUUUGAUUCCCAAUAUUACAAGCAAUGCAACAGAUAGACACAAGGCAUUAUCAAGUUCUAUUCUUUGCAAGCUAGCUCUCUAAGUACAAGCAAGAUCCUAACAGAUUCAAGACAAGUUACUUAGGCACUUUUAAAAGCUUCUUUACUCAGCACUUUAGACAUGAAUCUAAUGCUUCAAUGUAAGACAGCCACAAGACUAUAUGCAACAGCUUUAAAUUCAGUUUCAAUCCAUGUAUGCAAGCAGAUUCAGUUAAUCACACUAAGCAUCACUAUGAAACGAAGCUAAGCAUAUUAAUCACAUUCAGUCACCAAACAAAGCUCUUAAAGUAUCCUGGGACAGAUUCUAAACAUUUUAAUUUAUCAAUCUUUAACAAUCCUCAGGUUUUCAAUCACAUCACACAUUAUAACCAGUCAACAACACAAGCUCAUUAUCAAGAUGGUUUAUAUAGAAUCGCUUACAGCAAGGAACCAGGUUGAUUCCUUUUGCAUUUUAUGAACCCAGCCUUGACUUUUGUUGGAUCUAAGAGUCUGGAUUGUCCUCCAUCUCCUUCUCCUUCAGUUCAUGGCCACCAUCUUGUACCAUCAACUCAAAAGACCCCUCCUUUCUUCAUAACUUCUCUGCCCCAAGUUUAUGACACCAUCUUGUUUGUAACAGGAUGAGAACUUCUCUUGGACAAGGCGCCUUGGAGUCUGGUCUGCUAGGCCUCUCCAUACACCUUUGCUUCCAAGGAGAAUCACCAUCUGGACGGAUAGAGAACAGGAUGAGGAACCAAGAACACACACACCAUGGCUUCAGCCUUCAUCUUCUUGUAGAAACUGAAAUCGCAUAGAAAUGGCUUCAAGGUUUGGAUUUGAGCUGAGGAGUGAGCUGUGGACUUGUGGAAUUGUACAAGCUCUAUCUUCUCUUCAGUUCAACAUAAAUCUCAUAGGAGUUGGCAAGAAGAAGUUAUCCCACUUUCAAAUCAGGUGAUUCUGUUGAGAUGAGGUGAUGAGGAGUGGAUACAUUGAUAGAGAAGAGUAUUGGGCAGUCAGUAACUUUGGGAUUUACCACAGUAACUUUAGUUUUACUGUGGUAACUAAGUGAAUUGAAGAGAAGUUACCCGGAUGGGUUAAACUGGAGUCUAGCUGAUGUUAAUCCUUUCUUACCCUAAGGAAAACGUGGGAAGAGGAUAAGGAAGGAUAAGGGAGCACUUUGACAGUCUGUAUGAUGCUGGAAAGGAGAGGAUGCUUUUUCACUAGUGCAAGCAUGUGAGAAAGCACAGCCAAGUGAUUCAAAAGGAGUUCCAGCCUGUCCAUUGACUCCACAUGCUUAUACAUUUCGAAAACCCUUGUUGCUCUCUAUAUAUAUACUGGUAAACCUCAUCAGUUAUCAAUUAAUGGAGUUUUGAGUAUUCUCUCUUGUUCUUUAUUCUCUUAGUCUCUCUUAAUCUCCUAAUCUCAUACAAACUACACAAAUCAUCUCUUGAUAUUCAUUCAUCACUCUACAUACACAAAAGUGUAUAUGGUAUCAGAGCCAGGUUGCGCAAAGGGGAGAGUGUGUUUGGUUAUGAUUUUCGAAAUCUGAGUUUCUUGAGGUGUUCUUGAGGUGUUCUUGGUGUUCUUGAUGUGUUCUUGGUGCUUUUUGGUGUCCUUGUGAUCGAAUUGAGUCUGUGGAGAGUUUCUGAUGGAUUCAAAGGAGUUAAGCAUGGUGGAGGAGACAAGAUCAAGAAGUGAAGAGAAGAAAGAGAGAGAAAACGAGUGUGCUUGG
rnacentral:lncRNA from 1 species